GUGCUUGCUUCACCAGCACAUAAACUAAAAUUGAAACGAAACAGAGAAGAUUAGCAUGGCCCCAGGGCAAGGAUGACAUGCAAAUGUUCCAUAUUUUCAUUUCAUUU
rnacentral:snRNA from 1 species